ensembl:lncRNA
ACGAAACUUCCUGGUGGCAAACAGUUCGUCAUUUAUCAGACACCAACCAGGGAAGCUUCAGGAGCGGAGCAGAGGGUCCAUGUUGUGGAUCUCACUAAGGGCUCUGUCCCUUGCCUGAGGACCUGAGCUGAAACCCCGGCCAGGUCCCAGCACACAACAUGGGGAAUACAGUUAGCUGCUGUUGUCCUGCAAAUCCUUGCGACCAUCAGGAUGAGGGGCAGCGGCUGCUAAAUGAGGGCAUCCAGAGCCCGCAGACCUCCGCUAAAGUGUCGGAGGGGUGUUCACUGAGCCCAGACUGUGCCACUGCAGAGAGCUCUGAGACACCCUCACCCACAAAUGACCAGGUGACUGACCAGUCAAAACCAGGCUUGCCAGUGGAAACCUCUCAACCUGAGGUGGUCCGUGGUCAGGCAAAUGUUCAGGAGGAGGCAGAUGCUUUGUCCAUGCAGGUGAAGCCUGAGGCAUCAGCUGUUAUCAGUAAUGUGGAUGUAAAUGCAGCUUCUGCUCUGGAUAAGUAUGAAACCCAGGAUGUUUUCCCGGAGAAGAUAGAGAGCGUGGCUGUGUCCACUGAGAAGCUGGAGUGCAAGGAGGCUUCUAACGGGAUUAAGAACCAGGCCGCUACCAUCCUGAUUGAGAACCAGGCUGUUGCUGUGGUUGAGAACCAGGCUGCUACCAUCCUGAUUGAGAACCAGGCUGCUGCUGUGAUUGAGAACCAGGCUGCUGCUGUGGUUGAGAACCAGGCUGCUACCAUCCUGAUUGAGAACCAGGCUGCUGCUGUGAUUGAGAACCAGGCUGCUGCUGUGAUUGAGAACCAGGCUGCUGCUGUGAUUGAGAACCAUGCUUCUUCCACAGAGAAGCUGGACAGCCAAGCCGCUGCUACCGCGAUCGAGAGCCAGACCACUUCCACUGUCAUCGCAUCCACCGCGAUUGAGGGCCAGGC